UACGAAGGGGGCUAGCGUUGCUCGGAAUCACUGGGCGUAAAGCGCACGUAGGCGGCUUUUUAAGUCAGGGGUGAAAUCCUGGAGCUUAACUCCAGAACUGCCUUUGAUACUGAGAAGCUUGAGUUCGGGAGAGGUGAGUGGAACUGCGAGUGUAGAGGUGAAAUGCGUAGAUAUUCGCAAGAACACCAGUGGCGAAGGCGGCUCACUGGCCCAAUACUGACGCUGAGGUGCGAAAGCGUGGGGAGCAAACAGG
rnacentral:rRNA from 1 species